AAAAUUUUAAGUUAAAUAAACUAUAAAUUUUCAAAAUUUAAAAUAUAAAAUUUUAUUUAUAAAUUUUA
rnacentral:tRNA from 1 species